GACAGAGGCCUCAAGCGUUAGGCGGAAUCACUGGGCUUAAAGCGUGUGUAGGCGGAUCGUUAAGUGCCUUGUGAAAUCCCACGGCUUAACUGUGGAACGGCUGGGCAUACUGGCGGUCUUGAGCCAUCUAGGGGCGACUGGAACAAACGGUGGAGCGGUGAAAUGCGUAGAUAUCGUUGGGAACGCCAAUGGUGAAAACAGGUCGCUGGGGAUGAGCUGACGCUGAUGCGCGAAAGCCAGGGGAGCAAACGGG
rnacentral:rRNA from 1 species